CCCUUAGAUGUUCUGGGCCGCACACGCGCUACACUGAAGGAGGCAGCGUGUACUCCUGGAUCGAAAGAUUUGGGUAACCCGCGAAUCUCCUUCGUGCUAGGGAUUGAGGUUUGCAAUUAUCCUUCAUGAACGAGGAAUUCCCAGUAAGUGCAAGUCAUAAUCUUGCGCUGACUACGUCCCUGCCCUUUGUACACACCGCCCGUCGCUACUACCGAUUGAAUGAUUUAGUGAGGACUUCGGACUGGGACCGAUGCGGCUUUCGGGCUGCGUCGGUAUUCUGGAAAGAUGUCCAAACUGUAUCAUUUAGAGGAAGUAAAAGUCGUAACA
rnacentral:rRNA from 1 species